CUCAGUACCCACAACAGCGAGUAUGGAUUCCCCUGAAUUAUCCUUCAAGAAAUAGUGUACCACACGAUUGCCCCUCUCUUUUGACAUAUAUUGCUCUUUCCACUCCACGAAGUAGUGCUCAGUUGCAGCCAUAUUUUGAUAAAACAAAAGAAUCCUUGACUGGAAUUAGCCUUCACAACCCAUCAGAGUACCCAAAAAACCCUAAUUUACAAAGUAAAGCUGUCCUAAGACAAUACUGCAAACGGG
rnacentral:lncRNA from 1 species